rnacentral:rRNA from 1 species
AUUGAACGCUGGCGGCAUGCUUUACACAUGCAAGUCGAACGGUAACAGGCCGCAAGGUGCUGACGAGUGGCGAACGGGUGAGUAAUGCAUCGGAACGUGCCCAGUCGUGGGGGAUAACUACUCAAAAGAGUAGCUAAUACCGCAUACGAUCUAUGGAUGAAAGCGGGGGACCGUAAGGCCUCGCGCGAUUGGAGCGGCCGAUGUCAGAUUAGGUAGUUGGUGGGGUAAAGGCUCACCAAGCCAACGAUCUGUAGCUGGUCUGAGAGGACGACCAGCCACACUGGGACUGAGACACGGCCCAGACUCCUACGGGAGGCAGCAGUGGGGAAUUUUGGACAAAGGGCGCAAGCCUGAUCCAGCAAUGCCGCGUGCAGGAAGAAGGCCUUCGGGUUGUAAACUGCUUUUGUACGGAACGAAACGGCUCUGGUUAAUACCCGGGGCUAAUGACGGUACCGUAAGAAUAAGCACCGGCUAACUACGUG